AAAAAAAAAAAACCCUGCCAAUAUUGCGAUACAGAGAAAGAGGAAGGGAAAAAGGGGAAAAACCUACUCUCUGCACAUCAGUCUUCUUAACUAUUUUUCUCUCUAAAAAAAAACCCUAGCCAUACUACGAUAGAGGCGAUCUUUUCACAUCAAACUCCGCUACGAGAAAAGAAAAAAGAAGAAAGACUUGCGCCACAGUGGAGAUUCGAUUGAUCAUCGCUAUCCCCUUUUGAGUUUUCCAGACUCUGCGAACCAGUGGAUAUUCGUACGGCCGGCCACUGCCAUACCCUGCCGGACUUAGAGCAUCACAAUCGGCAUCCGUCAAAGCUAAAUACGAUCAAACGCCUCAUAGGUUUUGAGAUACAGAGUUAGAGAUUGGCGAUAUUCUGACGAAAGAUUCAUAUCGCAACGAAGUACAAAACUUUGAAGCGGAUAUCAGUGAAUGUGAGAUGCAGUUAACGUAGCAAACAACCAUGAGCUGACCAAUAUUGCUAUGAUCUUGAAUGACUGAUACAACAUGUUGGUUUAUCUCUCUUCUAUGUAUUGCACUUAACUUCUAUGGUUUCUGUUGGGAGGAUAAAGAACUUCACAAUAUUGACGUUAGAGACUCCAGGGGACUCAUUAACUGCCAGUCUGUACUUGCUGCCAUCCUAGCAAAAACAGGAGUUUCAGCCCAUUUUACUUAUUAGUGAAAAUGAACCAAUGACUUACUGCUUACUAUUGAAGGGGAGACGGAGCGCUAAAAAAAAGAAAGCAUUAUCAUUAAUUCAAACUGUUUUUCAUCCUACCUGAUCUACUGUUUUUGAAGAGCGAUUAAAAUUGUAAAACUUUUAAAUCUGAAAGUGUAAUCUAUUUUUGUUGUUGUAACUUUAUGGUUGCUGGUAGGUGAAUUUUCAUUUCUAAAACAAUAAAUGUAAUUACUAUUAAAUUGUCAAAAAUUGUUUCUAAUUCAUUUAGUAGAUCAUGUUUGGUUGGAGCACA